rnacentral:rRNA from 1 species
CCUACGGGAGGCAGCAGUGGGGAAUUUUGGACAAUGGGCGCAAGCCUGAUCCAGCAAUGCCGCGUGAGUGAAGAAGGCCUUCGGGUUGUAAAGCUCUUUUGUCAGGGAAGAAACGGUGGGGGCUAAUAUCCCUCGCUAAUGACGGUACCUGAAGAAUAAGCACCGGCUAACUACGUGCCAGCAGCCGCGGUAAUACGUAGGGUGCAAGCGUUAAUCGGAAUUACUGGGCGUAAAGCGUGCGCAGGCGGUUUUGUAAGUCUGUCGUGAAAGCCCCGGGCUCAACCUGGGAAUUGCGAUGGAGACUGCAAGGCUUGAAUCUGGCAGAGGGGGGUAGAAUUCCACGUGUAGCAGUGAAAUGCGUAGAGAUGUGGAGGAACACCGAUGGCGAGGGCAGCCCCCUGGGUCAAGAUUGACGCUCAUGCACGAAAGCGUGGGGAGCAAACAGGAUUAGAUACCCUGGUAGUCCACGCCCUAAACGAUGUCUACUAGUUGUCGGGUUUUAAUUAACUUGGUAACGCAGCUAACGCGUGAAGUAGACCGCCUGGGGAUACGGUCGCAAGNUUAAAACUCAAAGGAAUUGACGGCUGAGACGNGCGAGACGACGACGAGGAGAGG